UUGGGAGCUCUCCCAUAUGGUCGACCUGCAGGCGGCCGCGAAUUCACUAGUGAUUCGUAUUACCGCGGCUGCUGGCACAGAGUUAGCCGGUGCUUAUUCUGUCGGUAACGUCAAAACAGCAAAGUAUUAAUUUACUGCCCUUCCUCCCAACUUAAAGUGCUUUACAAUCCGAAGACCUUCUUCACACACGCGGCAUGGCUGGAUCAGGCUUUCGCCCAUUGUCCAAUAUUCCCCACUGCUGCCUCCCGUAGGAGUCUGGACCGUGUCUCAGUUCCAGUGUGACUGAUCAUCCUCUCAGACCAGUUACGGAUCGUCGCCUUGGUGAGCCAUUACCCCACCAACUAGCUAAUCCGACCUAGGCUCAUCUGAUAGCGCAAGGCCCGAAGGUCCCCUGCUUUCUCCCGUAGGACGUAUGCGGUAUUAGCGUCCGUUUCCGAACGUUAUCCCCCACUACCAGGCAGAUUCCUAGGCAUUACUCACCCGUCCGCCGCUCUCAAGAGAAGCAAGCUUCUCUCUACCGCUCGACUUGCAUGUGUUAGGCCUGCCGCCAGCGUUCAAUCUGAGCCAUGAUCAAACUCUAAUCGAAUUCCCGCGG
rnacentral:rRNA from 1 species